CCACAAGGGGUGAAGCUUGCGGUUUAAUUGGAGUCAACGCCGGAAAUCUCACCGGGGGCGACAGCAGGAUGAAAGCCAGAUUAAAGGUCUUGCCAGACGAGCUGAGAGGAGGUGCAUGGCCGUCGCCAGUUCGUGCCGUGAGGUGUCCUGUUAGGUCAGGCAACGAUCGAGACCCGCAUCCCCCGUUGCUAUUAGCCUUUGGCUAAGCACACUGGGGAGACCGCCGUCGAUAAGACGGAGGAAGGAGCGGGCCACGGCAGGUCAGUAUGCCCCGGAUCUCCCGGGCCACACGCGAGCUGCAAUGGCAGGCACAAUGGGUUCCGACCUCGAAAGGGGGAGGCAAUCUCGAAAACCUGCCGUAGUUGGGAUCGAGGGUUGAAACCCACCCUCGUGAACAUGGAAUCCCUAGUAAUCGCGUGUCACUAUCGCGCGGUGAAUACGUCCCUGCUCCUUGU
rnacentral:rRNA from 1 species